UCCUGUCUCUGCCACCGCCGAAUUAUUCCCGCGCGGAUUUUUUUCACGCCACCGGGGGCUUCGGCGCCCGGUGACGAAGGCCGUAUACGCGGGCGCGGCAAGUGCAUCUCUCUUUGCGGCGAAACAGGGAGGGCGCCCGACAUCGCGGUGUAAUCAGACACCGGGGGGCAUGAGGGGGACGGCGCGGGAGGGAGACGCGGAGAGACGUAAACGUAAUUGGAAACAUCCGAGAGGGAGAUUUCGCCACGCUUCUGAUCCGCGCCGCGCGGCGGCGGUUCGCCUGUUUCCAUUCUCCCUUCGGGCCGUUCGCCCGCAAUGCAAGCGCCAUAUCUCCGCUUUUUCUCCAUCGUCUAUCUGCGUUAACUUUCGCGUCGGGCAACGAUAACUUACGGCACCAUACAUCGUUUCUGCUCCGGAAAAAUGUUAUUCCCACGAAAAUUCUACCGACAGCUUAUCGAGCUGUUUGAGAGAUCCUUGAUGAUGAAAAUCCUAGUGUUGAAAAAUCAUAUUUGAUCACUGCUGAUUUUACGAGCCUUAUGAUUAUCGCACAAUUACGAUGAAAGCGCGGGACGUGAGUCACGCUAUAAUUACGCGAUUUUCCGCGUUAUUAAUAUAUUUAUCUUGUUUGUGCGACUUCAAAGAUAUUUUAUAUUUAUACGCGCGAGAACCAUCUCACGAACGUGGCUGCGGGAGAAAAGCACUUUCUUUGUGACGAACGUUUACAAUUACGUACGUGCGGCUUUGUAAAUGGCAGGGCGCGCGCGCCACGCAUGAUUAAGCAGAGCCCGGCGAUAAUGCGCUGCGUGCGGCUCUCCGGCGUAAAGAAGGUGUAAAUACCUCCCGAUGAUUCCUCGUAGGAUCGAGGCGGAUCGUGCAAAGGGAGCCGACACGGAGGCGGCUCCUUUCUCGUCGAUAGUUUCAAUGGAGAGUUUUUCUCAUACAGCCAGUCGGCCCCCCUUCUCUGUCUCUCUUUCUCUCUCUCUCUCUCACUCUUUUCUCCCGUUCUCCCCUUCGUGCCAAUGUAUACGCGUGUACACGGAGAACGAUAAAAAAGACGAGAUCUCAAAAGGUACGCGGAGCACCGCCUCUGAUGAAUGCCGCAACCAGUUGGCCACCAUGUUUUCCCUCCGCCGAUGUGUGUACGCCCUACUCUCUCCCGAAACAUCCCCUGUGCCGCGUCCCUCCGUGUGCCGACUUUCCAACCCCUCGCAAAACCGCGAUUGAACCCUUGUACAUCCAGCGCGUAUGCCGCGUACUGCGGCGUUCAGAGGUGAUUUUACGUGCGCUUUGUGAGCGGCGGAAUGGGUAACUUUUACAGUUAUCGAGCAACGCUACAGAAAUGUACACUGACAAAUUGGAUUGCCAUCAAUGAUUUUAAAGCGAGGACGAAAGAUCAGCAGCGAAAAAAGCUGCUUGUUGUACGUGUAUAGUACACAAUGUGAUUGGUAAAAAUUAAAAUUUUUCAAUGAAGAUUGUGAACAGAAAUUGGCAGUAUAUGCGAAAAAAGGGUGGAAAGAAAAAAAAAUGAAAACGGAAACAUACUGAAGUAAAGACAUCCGGACAAUAAGAUAAUAAUAUAAUAAUCAAUAUUCUUCAAGUCGCUUUGAUAUCUACAAAUAAUAACGUUAUAUAAUAAUGUUCAAUUUAAAUACAAACGCGUAAAGUUUUGCCUGCGCGAAGAAGACGCUCUUCGAUUCUCUUGGUUCGCAAAUACAUUCGUAGCGGAUCUGGCGCUAUACACGUAGAAGAAGGCAAGGCUGAAGGAAGAGAAGCAGAAGAUGGAGGAAGAGAAAAAAGGAAAACGCGGGCAGGGGCAAGAAAGAGAAAGCCGACCGAUAAACAAACUGCCAAGGAUCGCGGCACUUUAAUCUUCCUUUGAAGGCAUCUCUCGGCCGCUCUUUGCGGCAUUGAAUGAAAAGGGAACAAGGAGGGAGGGGACCCGAGCCCACCCCGUCUCUCCCUCUUCCGCGCACUCGACCCCGCGACUCAUUAUGGCAACAUGCGGUAAGUAUGCUCGCGCUUAAGUCUCCGGGGCGAGUACCCUUCGGGCGAGGGGUUGCCCCUAAACACGUACAGCGUCGGUAUUAGUUACACGUAUAUAUACGUGCGCGUACAGGCCGCCCGUUGCAAAAAAAAAAACGAUGGUCGAGGGCCCGGCGGAGGUACCGCGUUACGGCACUGUCGAAAACCGUCGGGGGACAGAGUGGUGGAGGAGAGAGAGCAUCCCUUAUUUCGCGGCGGCGGCUCGUUGCACGGCUCGGCGCAUCCGAAUAGUCUUCACUCCCAUGAUCCGGGGGGGGUUUCCAGGUGGUUCCUUACCCCUCCUCCUCUCCCCCUCCCUUCGCCUUUCGGACAUACUCUCAAAAAUUAGGCAUCGUGGAUACCGAACCGAUGGUACGUGUUUCACAGCUGCGGCGCGAUGGAACGGCCCAGCAAGCCGCGCGUGUCUCCACCUUUGUCCUGCUCAUCCUCGCCUCAGUCGUCAUUGUGUUUCCUCAAUCCUAAAAGAGUUCGGCUACAAAUCUAAAGCGUAAAAAUAUAUUAAAAAUGAUGUUACUUCGAUUCAAUGUAUUUAAGUUGACUUCUCAUAUAGAAUACAAUUUAAAGGAAUUGGUGAAUAGUAAAUUAUUUACUUAGGGUAAUUACAGUUUACAGAAGCCUGAAAAAAUAUUUUAAAAAGUAUACUUAUUUCAUAAAAUAUCGAGCAAUUUACGGAAAGAAUUGUAUAAACCUGAGUUUGGAUUAUGUACUCGUUUAUUAUUGGCUUUAUAAACACGAAACAUAAACAAGAGAGUUCCGGCAAACUCUCAGCCACUUUUGCAGUUGGAAUAUAUUGACGAAAGCCGGUAAACUUUUUACGAAAACUUUCGUCGAAAACUUGAAGUUCCGCAGCUCGAAAUAAACCUUUGUAAAUUUUAAUAUCUCCGUAUUAACCUGAAUAAAUUCCUGCAGAAAAAAUACUCGGGAAUAUAACGUUUCUAUAUUAAACAAGAACUGUGAAUUUUGAAACGAUCGUAUUUAGGCUCGUAAAUGCGAGUAAGGAUGCGAGUGAAAAUUCCAUUCAGUCUGUCGCUACUUCGAGUAACAAUUUAGCGCUUAAGUUCUCAGACAGUGCGACCAGGUAGAGGAAGAAGAGCCGCAGCGGCGCGGUACCAGGACCCGAAGAUAAUCCCGACGGUGAUGGCGACCGGUGCCGACGUGAUGGGACUUACCCCACCCCUCGUACGGAGUGCCAACCCCUCGGAGUAAGAGGCAACGAUACCGCCGAGGUCUGAAAGGCCGCUGCGAAUAACGCGCUUACGCGCGAUCAUCCGACCGCGAGUCUCGAUGCCCGAGUGACAGAUCGUGCCGCGCGGCGCGUCCUUGUGAAUAUUGCGGGGACUAAAGCCUGCGCUAAAGAGCGAAAAGGGCGGCGAGGAGGGGCACUAAGUCUUUCGUGGAUGGCCGGGCGCGCGCACCGCGCCGGGCGACAAUACGGUGUAGAUUACUUUUCAGAAUGGGCGGCGUGACGUAAACACGCUCCGCCGGUUUUUUCUUCGGCGGACAAUGCCCGUGUUUGCCGACACAAUUUGUUUCGGAUUUAGGUGCGUCGGCAUAAAUGCGUGUGCCUAGAUAUACCUAGAUGCCGAGCGAUGCGCGUCAAGCUCCGAAAUCUCCUGCACUUACAAUUAGUCGUCGGUUACAUAUGUUGGCGAACGUUAAACUUUUUCCUGACAUUAUUCGAAUAUGAUAAUUUACAAAAGAUUAGCACUCCCCUAGUUUAUUAACGCAUUCAACGAAUUAGAUAAUAUUUGCAUUUAUUCUUUUCUGUAGAGUAUACAUAAAAACGUCUGGCUGUGGUAGAAUAUAUUAUUUUUUACUCCUAUUUUUUUUUUACUUUUAUCGUUCUAGGUAUUGAAUUAUUCUACUAGCUUAGUCUCUUUUAGAAAUGCAGCCGUAUAGUUGAGCCGGUUUGGUAGCCAAGGGAACUCAUUAUACUGUGAGUAAUAUUACCUCACGCGGCAUAAUAUUAACGCGGACAUCUCAAGAAGUUGGAAAAGGGUCGAGCAGCGCGUCGCAAACGAGAUUGAUUUGAUCUACCGCCGACAGGGUGGCAGGCGAAACGAUAUGCCCUGGAUAUUGGGGGCCUGAUGAAGGCUUCUCAAAUGUCGUGUCGGACUCGGACAGCGAGCAGCAGAAAGAGAGAAGGAGAGACAAGGAAACAAAGAAGAGGAAAAAAAGGAGAAAGAUAGAGGCUGAUUGAAAUAGAAUGGGAAACUAAGCGAGAAGGACGCAUUCCUAGACGGCUUACCAGAAUAGACACCGCGUCGGCCUCGUCGCACGUUUUUCUCAUACCGAAAGGUAGCGGAUUUGUUUCUUCUUCUUAUCCGAUCUUAGAGCAAGAGCCUCUCUCUUGCUUGCUGCAGCUCGCGAUCCUGCCGUACAAAGGCACUCCGAAGACGCAACGUCUCUAGUGUCAUCUUCGAAGAACUCGGAAUUACAAGAAGAUUACGUGAUACUGUUGUUCCCUUCAUUUCGCUGAAGCUACCAAGGCAACUUAAAUAUAAUUCCGUACAAAAAAAGAAAUGAAUCGGUCGACAAUUAAUAAUUUGUAUUCUUCUAUACUCCUUUAUAUUUUUGCGUUAAAUACUUUUGAUGUGAUAAACGUUUUAUCGUUGUAUGUAGAGAGAAAACGUGCGGUAAUAAUAAAAAUCUCAUUAAAGACUUCAUUUUAAGA